rnacentral:rRNA from 1 species
AGAGUUUGAUCCUGGCUCAGGAUGAACGCUGGCGGUAUGCUUAACACAUGCAAGUCGAACGGUGUCUUCGGACACAGUGGCGGACGGGUGAGUAACGCGUGAGAAUCUGCCUCUAGGUUGGGGACAACAGUUGGAAACGACUGCUAAUACCCAACGUGCCGCAAGGUGAAAGAUUUAUUGCCUGGAGAGGAGCUCGCGUCUGAUUAGCUAGUUGGUGAGGUAAAGGCUUACCAAGGCAUCGAUCAGUAGCUGGUCUGAGAGGAUGAGCAGCCACACUGGGACUGAGACACGGCCCAGACUCCUACGGGAGGCAGCAGUGGGGAAUUUUCCGCAAUGGGCGAAAGCCUGACGGAGCAAUACCGCGUGAGGGAGGAAGGCCUUUGGGUUGUAAACCUCUUUUCUCAGGGAAGAAGAUCUGACGGUACCUGAGGAAUAAGCAUCGGCUAACUCCGUGCCAGCAGCCGCGGUAAUACGGAGGAUGCAAGCGUUAUCCGGAAUCAUUGGGCGUAAAGCGUCCGCAGGUGGUUUUUCAAGUCUGCUGUUAAAGACUGGAGCUCAACUCCGGAAAGGCAGUGGAAACUGAGAAACUAGAGUUCGGGGGUAGCGGGAAUUCCCAGUGUAGCGGUGAAAUGCGUAGAUAUUGGGAAGAACAUCGGUGGCGAAGGCGCGCUACUGGACCGAAACUGACACUCAGGGACGAAAGCUAGGGUAGCGAAAGGGAUUAGAUACCCCUGUAGUCCUAGCUGUAAACGAUGGAGACUAGGUGUGGCUUGUAUCGACCCGAGCCGUGCCGUAGCUAACGCGUUAAGUUUCCCGCCUGGGGAGUACGCACGCAAGUGUGAAACUCAAAGGAAUUGACGGGGGCCCGCACAAGCGGUGGAGUAUGUGGUUUAAUUCGAUGCAACGCGAAGAACCUUACCAGGGCUUGACAUGUCGCGAAUCUUGGUGAAAGCUGAGAGUGCCUUCGGGAGCGCGAACACAGGUGGUGCAUGGCUGUCGUCAGCUCGUGUCGUGAGAUGUUGGGUUAAGUCCCGCAACGAGCGCAACCCUCGUCUUUAGUUGCCAUCAUUAAGUUGGGCACUUUAGAGAGACUGCCGGUGACAAACCGGAGGAAGGUGGGGAUGACGUCAAGUCAGCAUGCCCCUUACGCCCUGGGCUACACACGUACUACAAUGGUUGGGACAAAGGGCAGCAAACCCGCGAGGGUAAGCGAAUCUCAUCAAACCCAGCCUCAGUUCAGAUUGCAGGCUGCAACUCGCCUGCAUGAAGGAGGAAUCGCUAGUAAUCGCAGGUCAGCAUACUGCGGUGAAUUCGUUCCCGGGCCUUGUACACACCGCCCGUCACACCAUGGAAGCUGGUCACGCCCGAAGUAGUUACCCUAACCUUUC